ACAUUUAGAAGACCUUCUGGGAAUUUCAUUAGUUGAAAGUGGUGGGGGAGGGAAACACUGCAAGAUCCAGGACAGUAGUGCUGCUCAUGUUCUGAUUCAUGCUAAAUGGAGCCUUGUCAGGAUAUCUGCCUGGCUUCAGGGCAAGAAAGUAGCAAUGAAGUACUUACCAGGAGAAUGGAGGCUCUGAAACCCUCCUGCUUAGUACUGGUAAAUCUGUCAGGCCCAAAGAUUCUUGCUCAGUAGCAGAAUGCUUUGUACAGUUUUCAGACCGUGAAAUUCCAUGACUAGCAUCCAGCCCAUUCAGUGGUUUUAGUCUGUGAAGAUGCUGGAAGCAGGUCUGGCCUUCCCUCUCUUCAGGAGUUGGGUAUAACAAGUAAGUGUUUUUAUAGCAGCCAUCAAAUUUAUUUAGUAUUCAAAAAUGUUGAUCAAGCUCAAAGACUGACACAUAAUAAUACAUAUUUUUUAAACAGAAGUUAGCACGGAAAAAUGACAGUAUGCUCAGGCCAGACCUAGUAGAAAAUCAUCUUUUCCAGUUGAUUUUAUAUAGCAGGAAAAAGGCACAUUUGCUAGGUUUUAACCAGGAUACCGCUAAUCAACUGGAAAAAAUAGUUUUGGGCAUCUCUGGAUGCCUGCAUAUCCCUAGGACUUAAAAAUGUGGAGCUGUAUCCAGAAAGUUCAGAAAAGCAUACUCUUCUCCUCAUCUCCCUUAUCCAUUUUCGCCAUCAACAGGAAGACUACAUACAGCUGAUAAGAGCAGUCCUGGAGUCACUCAGAGGAAUAGCUGACACUGGAAACAGCAAACCGGCUCCACAGAAGGAUACAUAGCUGGGAUUUCUUGUGGACAAAAAUAGAGAUUUUUUUUUCUACUAGAGAUUUAAGUAUUGACUACCAGAUACCACAAAAGUGCCAACCAGCUCUGAGAACUUAAGCUUGGUCAGCUAUUACAGGGACAGAUGUAAGCAACACCACCACUUACAGAAUGCACGUGGCAGCAGAAGAUCACCUACAUGCCUGCCAGCAAAUAAAUCCCAGCAGUUGAAGAUAUAUGUAACCAGUACAAAUUGUGCAAGACAUUUUCAAAUCAUUCAUAUUUGAACAAGAGUCACCUUGAUCGAAUAUGAAGUCAUCACCUUUUGGGGCUACAAAGGUUAUACUGGCAAAAGGAAAACAUGCAUAGCACCUAAUACAAUAUUGAUGUAAGAAAGCUAUAUUCAGAAAGAAGCAGCAGCAUAAGAUAAUGCCUGUCAAGUAACAGUAACUGAUGCAGGAAUAUGUCUUAGUAUUGCAGAAGGGACUAAUAGCAUAGAAGUACUUUACACAAUAAAGCAGGACUUAAUUUCCCAAUUAAAAAAAAGGCCUGUUUCUGUGGAAGAUAUCAAAUACUGCUGAAGUACCACACACUUCAAACUCAGCCCUGAAGAUGCUACCGGAGCAACCAGAGAUAUCCACUGUCUGGGACAAUAAACUGGACUUUCCCUUUACUGGAACCUAAUUACGCUUCUGUAUACCCCACAGCAAGCAAAUACCCACAACAAACAUGAGAAUGAGGUGAGAAGAACUGAAACACUACCUCAAACAUGACCCUAGUCCUCUUUGAAACAUACUAAAGUACAUAUAUGUAAAAACCUUCAAUAAAUUUUGCCAAUAGUUUCAAUAAAAAAUGAAGCACAAGUUGUGAGCUCAAACAAGUGUAUCCAU